ACUGAGAGUAGUGAGCCCAAUCUGGGGCUUGAACUCCAGAACCGCGAGAUCAUGACCGGAGCCAAAGUUGGACACUCAACUGAGUGAGCCACCCAGGUAGGUCCCCCAUACUCCUCUUUUAAACUCAGGAUAGAGAUGAUUGGUUACUUCCAAAAUUUUAGAGGUAUCGCAAAAGCUGGGGGAGGGAUGGUGAAUAAAUACUAGUGUAGAUCCAAAAAGAUCAUGAUAGCCUGAGGAAUGGGUUAAACCUGAUAAGGUGAAAAUCACUGGGAACAAACAUAAAUUCCUUCACUUGGGUUCAAAAACCCUACUGCAUAAGUUCUGAUGGGAAAGUCGGGUCCACCGAAUUCACAUUAUGAAGCAACAGUGUGGCUGCCACACGUGUAAUCGGACUGUUUGGCUGUUGUAGUGGAAAUGGGAUGUCUCUGGUGAGUCAGCUGCUAGGCCUCUGGGUUGGCCAGAGCACAUGUGUAAGACAAAUGUGAUGACCAAGUUGGCGAAGGAAAUAAAAAUGUCAGACGGAAAACAGUGAGUCACGAGUUGAUUAUUGUUGAAGCUGGUUGUAGGUAAAUGGAGAUUAUCUAUUCGCUCUGAUUUUGUGGACAUUUGAAAUUUUCCAUAAUAAAAAGUUUAAAAAGUCACAUGAGUAACUCAAGGAAACUCGUACUGACGUGACUGAGAAGGGAAUUCUUGGGGUCUUAUUAGCUUUCAGUAGAGCCCAGAAGGAUACGUGGAAGCAGAUGAGUAAAAGUCACAAGGAAUCAGAUUUUAGAAGAACUUCAGUGUGGCUGCUCCAUGUCUGGAACAGUCCGAGUAGAGUAAGUCCAUGAUAUUGCCAGGGGAUCCCGGUUCCAGGGGAUUGGGCUAGAGGAGGGGGUAAGGAUUGGCCAGCCCAUUAAUGUUUGGCCCCAGGAUGACCUGAAGAUGUGCUUCAUGUCUCACCUUGGUCCCUGAGGCCCCUUUCUAGAGAAAACCUCUUCAUUCUCUGUUUAGUGUCCUUCAUACCCGUGGUCCUCAAUAAGUCUGCCCCAGGGUUGGGAUGGUGUAGCUCCUGCUUAAAACCCUUCAGUGGUUUCUCAUCUCACUUUGGUUGAAAUGUUAACUCCUUCCUGUAACAUGCAGUGCCCUCAGUUGAGCCCCUAUCACCUCCCCUACUUGUCUUUAUCCAUCUCUCCCGCCAGGCCUUCCUCCAGUUCCUUUGUCUCUGCCACCUCAGAGCCUUUGUGUUUGUUCCCUUCACCUGGAGAGCUUUUCCCUCAGAUCUUUUGCUAAUCAACUCAGAUCUGUAACUGAGCUGUAAACCCUUCCUGGAGCUCUUUCCUGGUUAAAGAAGGGCUUUUCUUCUCCUCUGUCCUGCCCCCAUCACUGAACUGUGUUACUCUGCUUAUUUUUGUUCUAGCAUUCAGGUCUAUCUGAAAUUAUUUGUUUGUUCUCUUAGUUAGUAUGUAUGCUUUGUGAAAGGAACUUGAUCUCUCAUUGGUCCUGGAGACAACAGCACCUGGAAUUGAACCUGGCACAUAAAGUUACAGGGAAGGAUUGGGAGCAGCAUCCCUAUGGGAGCGGGAGUGAGGGAAGAGGACCGGACCAGAGGAGAAGUUGAACUGCGGCAUAGCUACAACAGAAUCAUCAACUGAUCCCAGGGGGAGAUCUCCAGCGGGGAUGGCCCUUCCGAGUUGUCCUGAAGAGAGGCCUUCAGUGGAUUGGAUGAGGCCCACGCACUUUCGGGAGGAAAACCGGCUUUACUGAGCCCAUUAAUUCAAAUGCCAGUCUCAUCUGGAAACACCCUCGCAGACACACCCAGAAGUAAGAUGUAAUCCGGCCAACCCACGGCCCGGUCGGUCGAGCUGACACAAGAUUGAGUUAACCGUCACGUACAGCCUUUAAAACAGCAUCCCGAAGUAUUUGGAGCGUUUAGCACCGGGGCUGACAGCUUAUCACCUGCUGAUAAGAGAAACAAGCCACGUGAAGGGAGACAGCAGAGAAGGCUGCAGACAGUCUGUGCAACUUUUACUCGCGCUUGCUUCGGGGUUACGGAUCAUCCGUUAUUGUUUUUACAUUUCUUUACAUUUUUCUGCAUUUGCCGUACUUUCCGCAAUGAACGGGGAUCGCUGUGAUGAGGAAAGGAAGGAAGAAAGCAAACCCCGGGGGCUCAGGCAGUACUGGAAUCUCUUCGCCGCCCAGAAGAAUCAGGUCAGGGGGUGCCUCCACACCUCGGGCCGUGGCCAUGUGGCUGUCCUCUUCCUGUAGACCCUCAGCUGGACCAGCGGCCACAUCCCCCUCCUCAGUGACCCCUCAGGCAGGGGAGAAUCAAGGCAGUUUCCCUGAGAGGCCCUUGACCAUGGCGAGUUCCUACGACUGCGGCCACCACACUAAGACCGAGCCGUCUUCCACCUCCUGGAGUCUCUCUGGAUGGCCAACGUGAGCUGCCAGGGAAAAGUCACAGGCAAACAGGGCUCCCUGGCUGCCCAGGAGAAUGGCCAACAGGAUGGAACUAGGGCUGCAGAGGAAGGACUUUGGACAAGACCCCGUAUCCUUUUUGCAGCAUCCUGGAUGGCCAGCUGUGGGGCAAGCUGCUCGCCUGGGCAAGCUUGCCGGGCAAGCAAGCCGGGGUGGGGGCUCGUGAAGUUGGCAACAGGCUGUAGUGCUGGAGGAGGAGGAGGAAGAAGAAGAGAUCCUGGUGAGUAUAAUCAAUAGAAUGGAGCAGAAACAGGAGUGACCUGGGGCCUCCCACCUCUCCCCCCCCUUCUCCCCCCCUCCCCCCACCUCCCAGGCCCCAGCGGGAAGGGAUUACCAGAUUUAGCACAUCAAAAUACGGGGUGCCCAGUUGAAUGUGAAUUACAGAUAAACAACAGAUCAUUUUUUAGUACAAGUAUAUCCCAGACACACAACAGAGAAAUACUGCAUGGGACAUACUCCUGCUGAAUACAUCUACUGGUAAACUUUUAGACCAGAGUGUAGGGUAAUAUUUCUGUGGGCAGGAGCCUUUCAAAUAUCCCUUCAAAUCUUAAUGCUCAGAUGAAAAAUUGCUGGUUUGCUAUGCUCGGAUUAUUAUAUUAUUAUUAUUGCUUGGUUUGCCUGCUGACAGCAACAGUGUGCGAUAAUAAUAGGAUCGCUCACAGACUUGUAGUGAGAUUGAAAUGAGUUCAAUGUAAAGCACUUCUGAGAGGUUCUGGAGUCUUCAGGGUUCAACGAGCUAAGGAGAAAGGAGGAGGCUUUGCAGGGAGCUAGACCCCAGGUGACAGGCACCUGCCUCCCCUGCUAGUG